rnacentral:misc_RNA from 1 species
CAGCCUUCUUGGUCCUCUUGGUCUAUAUAUAAAACAAAAAAUGGAAGUUAGGUGUAAAAGCACAGAAAAAAUUGCGAGUCCUACAGGCGUUAUGUGAUAUUAAAAAAAGUAGAGUCCACAAGCAAAUAGGUUACAUUUGAGCCAAUUAUCAAUAUUCGGAAACAAAAAAUGGAGUAAUAGAAUACAAUAACAUAGGUUGUAACUUCAAAGAAAAAAGUGAGGUAUAUUGAAUUCUUGCACAUGACAUCUCCCCAACGGAUUGUUUCAAAUAAAUCAUGUAAACAUAUGUAAAUUGCAGAAAUAGAGAAGACAGCACAUACACAGCAUCAUGUAUCAUUGACCUCAUAGAUUAAGAUGAAGAUGGAUACGGAAAUGGAGAAUAGAAAGUACCAUUUAGGAUGGGUUUGAAGAGCAAAAACCCUAGAAAGUUGAAUAUCCUCGCUCUUGUGCGGCCAACUAAAACAAAAUCGAUCCCUUCACUGGCCUCUUAUAUGGAGAGUAAGACCGCAGAGG